GAGGAGCUUGCUCCUCUGAUCAGUGGCGAACGGGUGAGUAACACGUGAGCAACCUGCCCCAGACUCUGGGAUAACAGUUGGAAACAGCUGCUAAUACCGGAUACGAGACGGAGAGGCAUCUCUACCGUCUGGAAAGUUUUUCGGUCUGGGAUGGACUCGCGGCCUAUCAGCUAGUUGGUGAGGUAAUGGCUCACCAAGGCGACGACGGGUAGCCGGCCUGAGAGGGCGACCGGCCACACUGGGACUGAGACACGGCCCAGACUCCUACGGGAGGCAGCAGUGGGGAAUAUUGCACAAUGGGCGAAAGCCUGAUGCAGCGACGCCGCGUGAGGGAUGAAGGCCUUCGGGUUGUAAACCUCUUUCAGCAGGGAAGAAGCGAAAGUGACGGUACCUGCAGAAGAAGCACCGGCUAACUACGUGCCAGCAGCCGCGGUAAUACGUAGGGUGCGAGCGUUGUCCGGAAUUAUUGGGCGUAAAGAGCAUGUAGGCGGUUUGUCGCGUCUGCAGUGAAAAUCCGGGGCUCAACCCCGGACUUGCUGUGGGUACGGGCAGACUAGAGUAUGGUAGGGGAGACCGGAAUUCCUGGUGUAGCGGUGGAAUGCGCAGAUAUCAGGAGGAACACCGAUGGCGAAGGCAGGUCUCUGGGCCAUAACUGACGCUGAGAAGCGAAAGCAUGGGGAGCGAACAGGAUUAGAUACCCUGGUAGUCCAUGCCGUAAACGUUGGGCGCUAGGUGUGGGACUCAUUCCACGAGUUCCGUGCCGCAGCUAACGCAUUAAGCGCC
rnacentral:rRNA from 1 species